UCUGAAUACAACAUGCUUCUGCGUUUACAAGAUCUAAGAACUUUUUGUGACAGCAUGGAGUCCAUAGCAAGCUUACGUGCAGCCAUGCAAAAUCGACAACAAAAAGAGACAGAUGUAUAUGUAUAUGUUCGAAUUCCGCCGAUUGUAACGCGAGACACUUUAAAUCGUAAGUCUUUCUACAAUUUAUAUUUGAACAUUCCAUGUAUUGUAGACUAAAAAUCUUCACCCCACAUCCACUGAAAUAGAGCUUUAAUCUAUUGCGCCUGCCAUCAAAAAUGCCCCGAAACUAUAAAAGAAAACAUCCCGAUAGAUGCAACAUAACUGCGCAACAAUUUGAAGCGGCAACGUUAUUUAUUGCCCAAGGCGUCAACGUCAAGCAGCAGCUCAAGCAGGAAUGAAAGAAAGUACCUUGAGGAAACGCUUGAAGGUUUGAUAAGUGGCUAUCGAAUAAGACUGAUAAUAAUAAUAAGACUAAGACUACAAAGAGUAAGACUUCUAAAGAUAAGACUGCGAAAAAGUGCACAAAAUCUACUUCAAAUAAAGAGCCAGUAGACGAAAACGAUUACUAUUGCCCCUUUUGUUAUGGCAAAUGUGAAGAUCCACCUACAGAAGACUGGAUUAAGUGUAGCCUUUGCAAUAGCUGGUGGCACGAACAGUACACCAGCUUCGAGCGGGGUAAUUUCAUUUGUGAUAAAUGCACUGAGUAAUUAUGUUAAGCAAGAUUAUUUUUAUGAAUAAGACUGCUAAGCUACGUUGAUUUUUCUUUUAGAUAAGUCUAUGACUGUUAACGUUACUGCAACCUUUAUUUAUCGAAGGAGUUAGUGAUUUUUUAUUGAUAAAGAUAUUUACAUAAGAUAUAAAUAUUAUGUUGAUUGUUUCGCAAAACUCUAUUAAUGUUAAUGACAUACUUAAUUAGAUUUGCUCCUAACCUAAAGGAAUGUUUAAGUUUUAUUAAUAUUUGUAUUAAAUACAAUUGUAUUUGUUGUGCUGUGAUUUAUUACAAUUGCGUAUGAUUACCCGCACUGAUGUGUAUUUCUACCCCAUUUUGACUGUGCUAGAAUUUCGUCAAUUGCUAAAAAUGAGUGCCAAGUAGGAGGUCUGUUGUUUAUGUUAAUUAUAGAUUAAUAAACGCUUUGACAAAUCAACAAGUUUUGUUUGAUUAUAUUGCUAAUUUUAGAUGUUACAACGGUUCAAACCUUAAGUGCGCACACUUGGAACGCAUGACUCUAGAGGCAGUAGUGAGAUGAAAGUAAGGAAUGACGAAAAAAUUGCACUUACGACGUGGUUGGCCCUUCGGCCGCGUACGCAACCAGAGCUUCGUAACCAGAUGCGAUCGAAAACUAUUUCUGCCUUGUACGAAACCGGUUGCGAUCAAAAACUAAUUCCGUCUUACUAGUUAUCAGUUACGAUCGAACACUUUUCUUUGUUGUACGAAACCUUUCGACCGUUGAUAAAGUCAGCUAAGAUUAUAUUUAUACACCUUGUUAUACAGUAUAAGUACUGUACACGUUAUAUAUCUAGUCAAAAAUCAGAACACAAAAAUUGUACCAGUUGAUAAUAUUCAAAUAUUUUGUUGGCAAAUACAAUGUAACCUCGUUCCUUAAAAGACACUGGCUUAAGAGACAUGGAGCACUGACAUUCAGGAUAAGAAAUUAUCAUGAGUAUCAUGACAAAAUAUUUGAAAAAAACCUAUAGCUAGAUGGCCCAGACAUUGGUUUCGUAUAAGAACGAGAAGUGUUCGAUCGUAACUGGUUACGGGUAAGACGAAAUUAGUUUUUGAUCGCAACCGGUUUCGUACAAGGCAGAAAUAGUUUUCGAUCGCAUCUGGUUACGAAGCUCUGGUUGCGUACGCGGCCGAAGGG